AAGUUUUAAGUUAAAGAAACUAUUAACCUUCAAAGUUGAAAUUAAAAUUAUUUAAACUUUGA
rnacentral:tRNA from 1 species